CUGCAGUCGAGCGGACAGAUGGGAGCUUGCUCCCUGAUGUUAGCGGCGGACGGGUGAGUAACACGUGGGUAACCUGCCUGUAAGACUGGGAUAACUCCGGGAAACCGGGGCUAAUACCGGAUGCUUGAUUGAACCGCAUGGUUCAAUUAUAAAAGGUGGCUUUUACCUACCACUUACAGAUGGACCCGCGGCGCAUUACCUAGUUGGUGAGGUAACGGCUCACCAAGGCAACGAUGCGUACCCAACCUGAAAGGGUGAUCGGCCACACUGGGACUGAAACACGGCCCAAACUCCUACGGGAGGCAGCAGUAGGGAAUCUUCCGCAAUGGACAAAAGUCUGACGGAGCAACGCCGCGUGAGUGAUGAAGGUUUUCGGAUCGUAAAACUCUGUUGUUAGGGAAAAACAAGUACCGUUCGAAUAGGGCGGUACCUUGACGGUACCUAACCAAAAAGCCACGGCUAACUACGUGCCACCAGCCGCGGUAAUACGUAGGUGGCAAGCGUUGUCCGGAAUUAUUGGGCGUAAAGCGCGCGCAGGCGGUUUCUUAAGUCUGAUGUGAAAGCCCCCGGCUCAACCGGGGAGGGUCAUUGGAAACUGGGGAACUUGAUUGCAAAAAAGGAGAGUGGAAUUCCACGUGUAGCGGUGAAAUGCGUAAAGAUGUGGAGGAACACCAGUGGCGAAGGCGACUCUCUGGUCUGUAACUGACGCUGAGGCGCGAAAGCGUGGGGAGCGAACAGGAUUAGAUACCCUGGUAGUCCACGCCGUAAACGAUGAGUGCUAAGU
rnacentral:rRNA from 1 species